rnacentral:rRNA from 1 species
UACAGAGACUGCAAGCGUUAUUCGGAUUCACUGGGCGUAAAGGGUGCGCAGGCGGUUGGGUGUGUCAGAUGUGAAAUCCCGAGGCUCAACCUCGGAACUGCGUCUGAAACUACUCGACUAGAGUACUGGAGAGGGUAACGGAAUUCACGGUGUAGCAGUGAAAUGCGUAGAUAUCGUGAGGAACACCAGAGGCGAAGGCGGUUACCUGGACAGUUACUGACGCUCAGGCACGAAAGCAUGGGGAGCAAAAGG